rnacentral:lncRNA from 1 species
AAAAGCCUAUUGUUAUUGAGGAAGAUAGUUCAGACAGUUCAUCUGAAGAAUCUACGUCAGAAGAUGAGACUGAAUCUGAUGAGGAGACUCUUGCUACUCGUUUGAAGAAAAGACCUGCUCCUACUCCUAAAGAUAAAGGUAAGUCUUCUAAGUAUGUCUUUAAUGAAAAUGAGAUUGGAUUAGGUUACACCAAACCUCUCAAAACCAUCUUACCAACCUCUGAUAUUCCAACCUCUGAUAACCCCCUAUCUGAAUUAGAAAAACAUCUGAGCCCGGACCCUCUUAAUAAUCACCCUCUUUCUCAUGAAACUCAACACAAAUCUAGCUCACCUCCAAAACCUACAUCACCUCAACCUGAACCUCAACCUAACAUUCCACCAUCUGAACCUCAACCAGAUAUUUCUGUCACUAAACCAACCUCUCCCACAAAACUAUCCUCUCCACCUCCUGAACCAACCCCUGCACACAAAUCUCCUGAACCAACCCCUGAACAAAUUGC